rnacentral:rRNA from 1 species
UACGGAGGGUGCAAGCGUUAUCCGGAUUUAUUGGGCGUAAAGAGCGUGUAGGCGGCCAGGUAGGUCAGCUGUGAAAACUCGAGGCUCAACCUCGAGACGUCGGUUGAAACCACCUGGCUAGAGUCCGGAAGAGGAGAGUGGAAUUCCUGGUGUAGCGGUGAAAUGCGCAGAUAUCAGGAAGAACACCCGUGGCGAAGGCGGCUCUCUGGGACGGUACUGACGCUGAGACGCGAAAGCGUGGGGAGCGAACAGG